GAAAUGUGUAAUUGUCUUGGAUACGCCUUCAAACACCAUGGCUCCGUGAGCUCUCUUAAGGCCUUUUCUUAGAAUUGCAGGCUCAAAAUUAAUAUUGCUCUCAAGCAUCAUUUCGAUGACGACGAACAAGAAAUAAGGAUGAUAGAGACGGAGAAAUCGUCUAGCAGUUACGGAGUCUUCGUGUGGCCCAGCUCCGGCGAGAGGUUCUAUGAGUCGAUCGGAUCUCAUCCUUUACAUGGUGAUCCUUCUGAAGCAGCAACUGGAGCUUCUCCUCAUCAUGUUGGUGUUCAUACGACUGAUGCUGCUGCUCCUCCUCCUCCUCAUGGUGAAACUCUGAUGAAACGUAAGAGACAACGGCUUAGAAAAUACGGACAAGACGGUUCUGUUUCUUUGGCAUUGCCGUCUUCCUCUGUUUUGACCAUUAACACCUCUAGCAAACGAGGCUGUGGUCAACCUACAGGCUCUGGCAAGAAACAGAGAUUGUCUUCCACUGUUAAACAAACUCUGUCCGAAAUCAAGAACCAGGACUCUUUAAUGUGUCCUUGAUGCGUGGGAAAAGUGUGAGUUGAUGAUGCCUUCAUCUUCUGGAAUGAGCUUCACACCACACAUGAUCGUGGUUUCCAUAGGAGAAGUAAUUAAUGUUGAAUCACUAUUACAAAAGCUUUCAUGAUAUGUUUCAUUUUUUGCUGAAAAGUUAUAAAACCUAAUUUACCAGGAUAUUGCAUCAAAGGUUAUAGCUUUCUCUCAACAAGUUGAUAAUGUUUGGAGAGUCUCUAUUCUCCCAGAUGGAUCUGAGUUUUUGAUUUUUAAACAAACAAGUCUUGAAUUGUUCUUUCUGAUGUUGAUUCUAACAGAAGGGUGGUAUAGUGAUACUGACCAAAAAGUAGAGAGAAGAAUAAGCUAGGAUGGUGAAGAAUCUGUCCCAGUAAAUCGGUGAAAUGAGCAGAGAAGAGAGGCAACAUGAAAGUGAAGCCACUCCAAGUGUUAGCAGUCGUGGCUGCUCUUGAGUUUCUCAUCUUCACCACAUCAGUUAAGUAAGUCAAUAAGUUUGAUGCAACUCCUUUGAAUGCAUAUCCAUCCCUCUAUCCCGUCAAUCACUAUGAGAAGGGCGCAAGCUUUUCUAAUUCCAUUUCUCAACUCUCCACCGGCCAUCGAGCAAGACUAUUUAAGCUUCAAAUUUUGUGUGUAUGUGUUUUGAGGGAUAAAAAAAGAGAGGUAAGGUUAUGUUUUGUGUGUGUGUGGGAGAGAACUAUGGUUAUGCUCUGUGUGAUGAAUUAUAUUUUAUAAAGCUUUAGGACAUACAUUUGGGUGAGUGCAGUGCACACUCCUAUAUUGAUAUGAGUACAAGACAAUAUAUAUU